AGAUGAUACUAGAUUUAAUCCCGAUUUUAGAAAAUCCGGGAUUAAAUUUAGUACCCCGUUCGGUAAGCACCAAAACCGGUAUUAAACUGAAAGAACUCAGCCACGUGUAAAUGUGUGCGUGUGAGAAAGAACAGAUGAAAACGAAAUGAUGGAAAUGUCAUUUUCCAUCGCUUUGUGUUUUGUUCACAUCAUUCGCCUUGAGCAUAAAAGUGGGUCCGGGAAAAGCUGGAGAUUUACAUUGGUGUCCAAUCUAAUUGAACACAGACGUUGGAUGAAAUGCUGGACUUAUCGGUGCUGCGAUAAAACGCCCAGUGGCCGUUGCGAAACCAGUCAAAAACUGUAAAGACCAGACAGCAGCUAUAAACAAUGUAUUCAGCAGGAGUCCCAUCAGAAGCUGGUGAACUAGCGGUGCAUCUGGUGGUGCCACCUGUCCAGGACGUGUUACUUAGUUGAUUUCAAUUUGAACAUUGGAACUCCCCAAGUAGUAUGACGUGAAAAUUAUAGUGAGUAAAACCGUUUGUUCCGAUAUGAGCUAGCUGGUUGUCCGAUAUUUCGCGGUUUACCGUUUUGCGGUAGUACCAUUUCGCGGUGUGGUUUUUCCUACAAGUUGCACUGAAAAUUGUUGGCAUUACCACUAAUAGCAUUUUCAUCGGUGAUUUACCCUUCUUUUAAGCACAGGCUUUCUUCCAAAUUGCACUGUUAAGAUAGAUAAAACAUCUCAGUAUAAACCGCGAAAUGGUACCAAGGCUGGUAGCAGUCAGACAGCAAAAUAAUAGUGACUUUAGUGAC